CUCUUCGCCCCGGCGCCGGGGGCCAGCGCUUGCGCUCGCAAGUCUCGGACUCCGGCCCGGCACGUUAGGGGUUGGGGGUUGGCAAGCGGGGCCAGAGUCACUGGCCGGGGUCCGAAGCGCACGUCGUCCUUCUCUCGUCCCACAACGGCCCCUUCCCGGCUCGCCGCGGGGCCCCACUGUGUGCCAGUCCCCCUUCUCGGGCUGCAAGGCACCCACCCACGGCCCUUCCUGGUAUCUGGACCAGACCAGGUGGGUCUCAGCCCCACCUCAAGUGAGACUUCAGGAAGAACUUCCAGAGGAAACUGGAGGAUGGCAGUGGGAUGGACUGUGGGGAGGUCAUUUGCAAACAAGGCAGCUAUGCCUGUGCCCUGGGCCUUCCAAAGUCCACCUGUAGGCUGCAUCUUCCGGAAGGCCCACCCUGUAGCCUGGAAGGCACCUGGCUACAGUGAUCUCUCUGCUGUGCAGGUGUCCCCUCCCCCAGGGCACCUUGCAGGGCCUA
rnacentral:sRNA from 1 species